AAUUGCAGAUAUUCGUGAAUCAUCGAAUCUUUGAACGCACAUUGCGCCCUCUGGUAUUCCGGAGGGCAUGCCUGUUUGAGCGUCGUUUCUCCCUCAAACCGCUGGGUUUGGUGUUGAGCAAUACGACUUGGGUUUGCUUGAAAGACGGUAGUGGUAAGGCGGGAUCGCUUUGACAAUGGCUUAGGUCUAACCAAAAACAUUGCUUGCGGCGGUAACGUCUACCACGUAUAUCUUCAAACUUUGACCUCAAAUCAGGUAGGACUACCCGCUGAACUUAAGCUAUCAAUAAGCGGAGGAAAA
rnacentral:rRNA from 1 species